CAAGUCGAACGGACCUUCGGGUCAGUGGCGAACGGCGGAGUAAUACAUGAGUAACGUGCCCUUCAGACGGGGAUAUACAGUCGAAAGACUGGGCAAUACCGGAUGAGAUGGCGAGGAGGCAUCUCCUUGUCAUGAAAUGGUUUUUCGCUGAAGGAGCGGCUCAUGACACAUCAGAUAGUUGGUGGGGUAACGGCCUACCAAGUCUACGACGUGUAGGGGGUCUGAGAGGAUGAUCCCCCCGAGUGGGACUGAGACACGGCCCACACACCUACGGGUGGCAGCAGUUGGGAAUCUUGCGCAAUGGGGGAAACCCUGACGCAGCGACACCGCGUGGAGGAUGAAGGAUUUCGGUCUGUAAACUCCUUUUGCUAGGAAAGACUUAGGACGGUACCUAGCGAAUAAGCUCCGGCUAACUACGUGCCAGCAGCCGCGGUAAUACGUAGGGAGCAAGCGUUGUCCGGAUUUACUGGGCGUAAAGGGCGUGUAGGCGGUCUGUUAAGUGUGACGUGAAAUCUUCAGGGCUCAACCCGAAAAUUGCGUCGCAGACUGGCAGACUAGAGGGAAGCAGAGGUUGAUAGAAUUCCUGGUGUAGCGGUGACAUGCGUUGAUAUCAGGAGGAAUACCGAUGGCGAAGGCAGUCAACUGGGCUUUUCCUGACGCUGAGGCGCGAAAGCGUGGGUAGCAAACAGAAUUAGAUACUCUGGUAGUCCACGCCCUAAACGAUGGAUGCUAGGCGUAAGGGGUAUCGACCCCCUUUGUGCCGUAGCUAACGCAUUAAGCAUCCCGCCUGGGGAGUACGGCCGCAAGGUUGAAACUCAAAUGAAUUGACGG
rnacentral:rRNA from 1 species